GAACCGCCACAUUUAAAUGGAGCAAAGAAAGAACAUUUUAUAAUUUUUUUUUUUGAUAUGAUCCUUAUAAUUCAAAUGAUACUUGAUACAACUGGACAGGAAAUUUCAGAUUGUCG
rnacentral:ribozyme from 16 species